rnacentral:rRNA from 1 species
GAUGAACGCUAGCGGGAGGCCUAACACAUGCAAGCCGAGCGGUAUAGAAUCUUCGGAUUUUAGAGAGCGGCGUACGGGUGCGGAACACGUGUGCAACCUACCUUUAUCUGGAGGAUAGCCUUUCGAAAGGAAGAUUAAUACUCCAUAAUAUAUUGAUUGGCAUCAAUUAAUAUUGAAAGCUCCGGCGGAUAGAGAUGGGCACGCGCAAGAUUAGUUAGUUGGUGAGGUAACGGCUCACCAAGACGAUGAUCUUUAGGGGGCCUGAGAGGGUGAUCCCCCACACUGGUACUGAGACACGGACCAGACUCCUACGGAAGGCAGCAGUGAGGAAUAUUGGACAAUGGGUGCAAGCCUGAUCCAGCCAUCCCGCGUGAAGGACGACUGCCCUAUGGGUUGUAAACUUCUUUUGUAUAGGGAUAAACCUCUCCUCGUGAGGAGAGCUGAAGGUACUAUACGAAUAAGCACCGGCUAACUCCGUGCCAGCAGCCGCGGUAAU